AAAAGAGUAGCAGCUUCAGUCCCUCCUCCUUGCUGUAGUACGAAAAUCAGAGAGGUUAUUCUCUGAUUUUUCUUCCUUUUGCCACCCAAAAUCAAAGGCCCAGUUUGUGUUCCUUUCUUUAUCAUUCUACUAGAGAGUAAAUAUCACUUCGAGUUCUGCCAAUUCCGAUAAUUCUUGGCUACUGUUUUGUCGAGUUUGAGAAGCUCCCAUGCAACAUGUUGCAUCAAUGUGAAGAAAAGAAUUGGAACAUUUAGUUAGUCCAUUCUACUGAACAAAUAUGAGAAGAUAGAAUAGGCUGAUGACCAUACAAGAAGACAUACAUGAUGUAGCUUAUUAAUUGAAUAAGUUGGUCUUGUAGACUUGGACAAUCAAAUACAUAAAGUACGUAAAGUGAGAUAAUGACUCGAUGCACGUUCUCAUGAAGAUGAUAUAAUAAGCAGAGGAACAUAAUUAGCAAAUGCGUGCUUAGGGAGAAACUUGUGGUGGGGAUCCAGCAUAUUGAUUCCAGCCAAGGAGAUCCAGCAUUGGUAAUGAAAUUAAGAAGAGUAAAAUGAAACGGCAAAACAAAAAAAAAAAAAACAGCGAGUUAAUGCUCCAUUCCCCACCUCUGCAA